AGAGUUUGAUCCUGGCUCAGGAUGAACGCUGGCGGUAUGCCUAACACAUGCAAGUCGUACGAGAGUUUUUAACUCUAGUGGCGGACGGGUGAGUAACACGUGAGAAUUUGCCUUUAGGAGGGGGAUAACAAUUGGAAACGAAUGCUAAUACCCCAUAUGCUUUCGAGUGAAAUGAAUUUUUUAUUUGCCUAAUGAGAAGCUCGCGGCUGAUUAGCUUGUUGGUAAGGUAAGAGCUUACCAAGGCGACGAUCAGUAUCUGGUUUGAGAGGACGAUCAGACACACUGGAACUGAGACACGGUCCAGACUCCUACGGGAGGCAGCAGUGGGGAAUUUUCCGCAAUGGGCGAAAGCCUGACGGAGCAAUACCGCGUGAGGGAAGAAUGCCUAUGGGUUGUAAACCUCUUUUUUCAGGGAGGAAUAAAUGACGUGUACCUGAAGAAUAAGCAUCGGCUAACUCCGUGCCAGCAGCCGCGGUAAGACGGAGGAUGCAAGUGUUAUCCGGAAUCACUGGGCGUAAAGCGUCUGUAGGUGGUUUAAUAAGUCAACUGUUAAAUCUUGAGGCUCAACUUCAAAAUCGCAGCUGAAACUAUUAGACUAGAGUAUAGUAGAGGUAAAGGGAAUUUCCAGUGUAGCGGUGAAAUGCGUAGA
rnacentral:rRNA from 1 species